UUAGGAGAGUUCAAACUUUAAAAGAUAAAAGGAAGAAAUAUGGCUGAAAUUUUCAAGUUUAUUUAUAUUAUGAUCAUCUUUAUUACUAUAUUUCUAGUGCCAUCCAAUUAUGGGAGUAAUAUAUUUAUUUAUAUUUAUAACUUCUUUUAUUACUUUGUACACAAUAUUUAUCAAAUAUUAUCUAAAUUUUUAAUCUUAUUUUUUAAUAUAGGAGGAGAUACUAGAUGUGUACGAGAUACUGAUUGUCAUUUAUUUGGGUGCUAUCCACCAAAGAUAAUGAAGUGUGACAAUAGACGAUGUAGAUGUACUAGUAUGUUCUCUUCCAUUGAUUAUGUUCACAUAUAAUUCUAGGUUUAGUUUCACAUCCAAGAGAGUAUACAAGUGCUCUUUAAGAAUAUUUUAGAAGCUGCGAUAUAGUUAUUGUAUAUACAUCUCAUCAUUUUUUUUCGUUUUAAUUUUAUUAGUUGGGUAAUAUAUUAUGAUAAUUCAAAAUAAAUAUUGCAUAACUAAGAUGAAUAUGACUUUGUAAGGUUAUAAUUUAUCGUAAGAUUUAUAUGUGAUUUAAAAUGAAUAUGAUUUAGAAGACUCAUUUUUGUAAGGAUUUUGUAAAGUUAUAAAUUUUCAUAAGAUUUAUGUGAAUAUGAUUAGGAUAUGUAAAUUCGCUUCAUUGUUAGUGUUUUUGUUAUUAUAGUUGUUUGACAUGCUUUUUAUAGUUAACAUUUAUGUUCGAUUCACUUGUUUUCGGUUGCUUUCGAAGGACUUUUAGCUUUUGCACAUAUCUCAUUUGAAAAGAUUAUUUCAUUUUAAUAAGUAGGAAAUAUUUAAUUAAAUCAUAAUCCUUGUAGAAAAAGAAGUUAUUAGAUUUGGUUUAAUUUAAAAAGAUUUGAUUUGCUGAUUAUUGGAUUUGGUUAAUUCUCUAUUGCUCCCAAUUUGGUGUUUUUGGUUUAAUUCUAUUUUAUACAUAAGAGAUGUCUCUUUUUAAUUGAAGACUCACCUUUUGAAAAAAUAACUUAAGUGUGUCUUAAUUAAUUUUCUCUGAGUCUUUGUAUUUUGUUUAGUGUGUAAAACUCUAUCCUAAAGAAUCUUUAAUAUUUGGAGAGAUAUAGUAUUUGAUCAGUAAUUGUGAUAUUUCUUUUCAAACCACAUAUAAUUGGUUCUUGCAAAUAAUUGGAAGAGUGUUUGAGUGAAACUGAGGGGUAUCAGAUUUAUGAUAGUAUUAGGAAAAGGAACUGAUUUAGGACUGUUUAUAUGACACUAUUGUAUACUAUUGAUUAUUUAAAUUAAUGAGUUUCCUUUCAUUUGGGCUACAACCCUCUAGACGUAGGUGAAGUUACACCAAUCUGGGUAACCAUUUAUUUGUUACUUAUUUGUAGUUUGUUUUAAUUAUUCAUCGUUUAAUUUAGAUAAUUUUGUAUCCCACAUUAUUACAUCAUUGUGUGAGACAUGUUGGUUAUGACCGAACCGAAUAUCAAUUGGAAUCAGAACAUGAACCCUAUUCUAAUUUGCUUUGUUCUAAUGUAUCUAUUUUUUUUAAAGAUGGAGUAACUACUAAGGGAUCAGUUGUCACCACUUAGAGUUACCCAAACCCUAGGCCCAAAAGGCCUAUAUAAAUAAUGCUCUCUCGAUGGAGAAAAGGAUAGAUCUUAAGUCAUAAAGAUCGCACCCCAUUUACGCUUAUACCUAAGAACACAAUUCAUCUAUAGAUGUAUAUUGGAUCUUGUUGUCUAUGUCUAGGACACUUAAAAUCAGAUUACAAGUCAAAAAUAUGAUUUUUCAUGAAAAACGUGUCUAUGGGUCGAUACAUUAUGGCUAUGUAUCGUUACAUACUAAAUGAGUUUUAAAGAAAGUAAAGUAUCAAGACAUAUGAGGUAUGGGUUGAUAUAUAAUGCAAAUGAGUCUACUCAUUCGUAUUUGGAGUCGGCUUCAACUGAAAGUUUUUUUAAAGCAAAUGGCCCUUCCUUUAAUGUAUUGAUACAUUGUUGUUGUGGGUCGAUACAUAACAGGUAUGAGUCGACUCUCCCAUGUUUGGAGUCGACUCCUACUGAAGAAUUUUUUCAAGCAAACCUUCCUACCUUCAAUGUAUUGACUCCUGGAGUCCAUGUAUCGACUCUCAUGCCUUAUGUGUUGACUCAUUAGAAUUUGGAGUCAAUACAUUCUAUUCUAUUCUACAUAACUUGUAAUUCUUGACUAAAAGUAUGUUUUGUCUAUUUUUCACACACACACACACACACACUAUGCAUUCAUGCAUAAUCUCUCAUUCAUCGAAACCAAGAACAUACAAAUAAUUUUCUCUUCAUCUUUAACCUUUUUCUUCAUACAGUCAACAAUUAAACAUAAUCAUUUUUGUUGAGUGUCAUCUAGACUAGAUUGAUAAGGUCCAAAUUAGGAUUGUUGUAAUCAUAAUUGGGUGGAGUAUUCUUUUGUGGUUUCUUUAAUAAAAUUGGUCAUGGUUUUUCCUCAAAGAACAAGGAUUUAUUUAAGAGGUAUGUGCAAUAUUUUGCAACGAGGAUUCAGCUGAGAGAAAGCUUUAAAGAACAUGAUUCUAUCAAAGGAGUAGCGAUAACCGAAGGAUCGACUUGGAAGUCUUUGGUCACAUGAUCUUGCUUAAGAUCAAGGGGAGAGAAGAAGUUAGAAUCAACAUCAAACAUAGGGUUUAGGGGGUUUGUAUUGCUACUUUUUCUCUUGUAUGCAACUCUUGCAAGGGUUAAUUACAUAUCUCAAUUCUAUUUGGAAUUGAGAGCAGACAUACUCAUAUUGAGGAUAAUUGGGGAACUGCCUAAACAAAUCUUGGUGAUCUCUCUCUCUCUCUCUCUCUCUCUCUCUUAUAUAUAUAUAUAUAUUAUUUAUUUAUUUAUAAUACUCUUAGUGUGCAAUUUGAUAAACUGAAUUUUUUGGUUCUAUUGAAGAAAUUCAAAUUGUUUCGUAAAGAUAAAUUGCAAUCUAAACAAUUCCAAUUGGUUUUUCAUAACUUCAACGCAAAGGAAAAUGAGUUUGGUGAUUAUUGCACACCAAGUGUUUGAUAAAUUGUUUGUGUCAAUUUUUAUUUCCUAAUUCAUUGGAAAUUGACUACAAAGUAUGAUAUUGUUUAGACGAUUAUUUUGUAGAACAUAUUGAUUUGCUUUCUCAUCAUUAGUAUACGUUUCGUUACGGUUUAAAUGCA
rnacentral:lncRNA from 1 species